GAUGAACGCUAGCUACAGGCUUAACACAUGCAAGUCGAGGGGAAACGACAUCGAAAGCUUGCUUUUGAUGGGCGUCGACCGGCGCACGGGUGAGUAACGCGUAUCCAACCUGCCCACCACCUGGGGAUAACCUUGCGAAAGUAAGACUAAUACCCAAUGAUAUCUCUAGAAGCCAUCUGAAAGAGAUUAAAGAUUUAUCGGUGAUGGAUGGGGAUGCGUCUGAUUAGCUUGUUGGCGGGGUAACGGCCCACCAAGGCGACGAUCAGUAGGGGUUUUGAGAGGAAGGUCCCCCACAUUGGAACUGAGACACGGUCCAAACUCCUACGGGAGGCAGCAGUGAGGAAUAUUGGUCAAUGGGCGAGAGCCUGAACCAGCCAAGUAGCGUGCAGGAUGACGGCCCUAUGGGUUGUAAACUGCUUUUAUAAGGGAAUAAGGUGAGUCUCGUGAGACUUUUUGCAUGUACCUUAUGAAUAAGGACCGGCUAAUUCCGUGCCAGCCGCCGCCGUAA
rnacentral:rRNA from 1 species